rnacentral:rRNA from 1 species
UACGUAGGGUGCAAGCGUUAAUCGGAAUUAUUGGGCGUAAAGGGUGCGCAGGCGGAUGUAUAAGUCAGAUGUGAAAUCCCCGGGCUUAACCUGGGAACUGCGUUUGAAACUACAAGGCUAGAGUGUGGCAGAGGGGGGUGGAAUUCCACGUGUAGCGGUGAAAUGCGCAGAUAUCAGGAGGAACACCGGUGGCGAAGGCGGAUCUCUGGGCCGUAACUGACGCUGAGGAGCGAAAGCAUGGGUAGCGAACAGG